AUCAACAUGCACAUAUAAAUUAUAUCAUUAAUCAUAAUGAUUUCUUUCAGUAUUCAUAUGUAGUUUCUUGGGAAUCCCACUGUAAUUCAGCAUGAAUUAAUGUCCACUUAUUGGAAAGCACUACCUACACUGAUCUUUCUAGGGGAAAAAACCAACAACUGUGAUGCAUCUUAAACUACAGCCUAAAUGACCGGGGUGCUGGUAAACAGCCACCAAAGGAGCGUCGCCGCAGGCAACCCUGUGGUUAAUGUUAAGGCCAACAGAGCUGAACACAUCUUGCAGAAGCUGUUGGAGCUAAGUGAAAAUUCUGUCUUCAGAAUCUCAAGUUUCAAAAGAAACAUAACUCUGGAUUUUGGAUGGUCUGACUUCCUUUUCCAGGGAUGUGUCAAGUCCAGUAUUUCAGUUUGAAACACUGAUGUGACAGACUGCCAUAAUGCAAUGUGUUUAACCACCUCAGUGAUGCAUCAAGUGAAAGGAGUUCCCAAAGAUUCAGUUCACACAUGCACACACACACACAAAAAUGAGGGAUAAACAGUAUGGGAAGCGGAACAUAAAUCUUUUUCACAUAGUUUGGCACAAAUUCAAUUAUAAUUUGUAAAUGUUCAAUCAAUUAGACCAGUCAGUUGUUUAACUUAUAACUUUGAAGGCAGAUUAUCUUUUCCAAGGGGAAAGCGUCUCUCAACCAAGACCUUUUAUGUGAACUGCUCCAGAAGGAAAAUGCUACAUUUGCAAUGGAACAUGAAGAGAUUUGGGAGAAAAGUGUGUAAUACCAGGACGUCUUUGGCUGAAUGUCAAGA
rnacentral:lncRNA from 1 species